rnacentral:rRNA from 1 species
AUUGAACGCUGGCGGCAUGCCUUACACAUGCAAGUCGAACGGCAGCACGGGAGCAAUCCUGGUGGCGAGUGGCGAACGGGUGAGUAAAGUAUCGGAACGUGCCCAGUCGCGGGGGAUAACGUAGCGAAAGUUACGCUAAUACCGCAUACGAUCUAUGGAUGAAAGCGGGGGAUCGCAAGACCUCGCGCGAUUGGAGCGGCCGAUAUCAGAUUAGGUAGUUGGUGGGGUAAAGGCUCACCAAGCCGACGAUCUGUAGCUGGUCUGAGAGGACGACCAGCCACACUGGGACUGAGACACGGCCCAGACUCCUACGGGAGGCAGCAGUGGGGAAUUUUGGACAAUGGGCGCAAGCCUGAUUCAGCCAUGCCGCGUGCAGGAUGAAGGCCUUCGGGUUGUAAACUGCUUUUGUACGGAACGAAAAGGUUUGACUUAAUACGUUGGACUCAUGACGGUACCGUAAGAAUAAGCACCGGCUAACUACGUGCCAGCCGCCGCGGUAA